GCAGAAGGCAGAGAGGAGGGGGGCUGGGCAGGACCAGCUCCUCCAACUCCCAACUACCUUAGGCAGCACUUUGGAUCCCAGGUAAGCCCCCCUUCUGAACCUGUUGGUCAGUGUGUCUGUGUGUAUCUAUGUCUGUCAGUGUGUGUGUAUAUGUCUGUCAGUGUGUGUGUGUGUGUAUCUAUGUCUGUCAGUGUGUGUGUGUGUGUGUGUAUGUCUGUCAGUGUGUGUGUGUGUGUAUGUCUGUCAGUGUGUCUGUGUGUAUCUAUGUCUGUCAGUGUGUGUGUGUGUAUGUCUGUCAGUGUGUCUGUGUGUAUCUAUGUCUGUCAGUGUGUGUGUGUGUAUAUGUCUGUCAGUGUGUGUGUGUGUAUAUGUCUGUCAGUGUGUGUGUGUAUCUAUGUCUGUCAGUGUGUGUGUGUAUGUCUGUCAGUGUGUGUGUGUGUAUGUCUGUCAGUGUGUGUGUGUAUGUCUGUCAGUGUGUCUGUGUGUAUCUAUGUCUGUCAGUGUGUGUUUGUGUAUAUGUCUGUCAGUGUGUGUGUGUGUGUCUGUCAGUGUGUGUGUGUGUGUGUAUCUAUGUCUGUCAGGUGUGUGUGUGUGUGUCUGUCAGUGUGUGUGUGUGUGUAUGUCUGUCAGUGUGUCUGUGUGUAUCUAUGUCUGUCAGUGUGUGUGUAUAUGUCUGUCAGUGUGUGUGUGUGUGUAUCUAUGUCUGUCAGUGUCUGUCUGUGUAUCUAUGUCUGUCAGUGUGUGUGUGUGUAUGUCUGUCAGUGUGUCUGUGUGUGUAUCUAUGUCUGUCAGUG
rnacentral:lncRNA from 1 species